rnacentral:rRNA from 1 species
CUACGGGUGGCUCCAGUGGGGAAUAUUGCACAAUGGGCGCAAGCCUGAUGCAGCAACGCCGCGUGAGGGAUGAAGGCCUUCGGGUUGUAAACCUCUUUUAGCAGGGAAGAAGCGAAAGUGACGGUACCUGCAGAAAAAGCACCGGCUAACUACGUGCCAGCAGCCGCGGUAAUACGUAGGGUGCAAGCGUUGUCCGGAAUUAUUGGGCGUAAAGAGCUCGUAGGCGGUUUGUCACGUCUGCUGUGAAAAUCCAAGGCUCAACCUUGGACUUGCAGUGGGUACGGGCAGGCUAGAGUGCGGUAGGGGAGAUGGGAAUUCCUGGUGUAGCGGUGGAAUGCGCAGAUAUCAGGAGGAACACCAAUGGCGAAGGCACAUCUCUGGGCCGUAACUGACGCUGAGGAGCGAAAGCGUGGGGGGCGAACAGGAUUAGAUACCCUGGUAGUC